CUUGAAGCACCGAGCAGCUGUGGCCGCUUCACUGCAUCUGUAUCAACGUGAGCACCCCCAGCACACACCUCCCCACGGAACAGUACCCUCACAUCCCCAUCCCUCCUUCCUCCCCCACCCCCUCCCCAGCUGACAGCAGAGCGCCGGGUCCGGAGGAGCGAAUAAACAGAUUUGGCCACGCAAAGGAGAUGGAGGCAUUCACGGGAGAGCAUCUGACAGCUUGGGGCGAGCGGAGAGCUGGCGCUGGAGGAGCGAUGCAGGAAUCCCUGCGCGCACAGAGUGCUUCGCCCCGAAGGAAGCAGAGGGUUUUGCCUUUGCUUAACAGAGAGGAAAAGAAGCAGCAGAUCCUCAGCUUUGUGAGCACCAGGUGGUCCCUUUCCCAGCUGGGUGACCCCACCUGCAUGCCACGCUGUGCCACUCCGUGCCGUGCCUCGCUGCCUUGCUGUCCCACCACGUGCUCCCCAUGUUUGCUUUUUCCUCCAAACCUCAGCCUCCAAAAUCACAGAGCCACGCACGAAGGACUGAAUUUUUAACACGUUCUUUAAGGAUUAAAUUUCAAGGCCUCGUAUAUACCCGGAGAGGCUCGGGGAUGCAUACCUAACAGCAGAGGAUAAGCAUCUAAGAACUGGUAUUUAAAAAUGAAUGAGUCGCGGUGUUCAGAUCAAUCCUGUGAUAUUUAGAAGCCCAAUUCCUGAAGUCUCAGCCUGGGAGAAGGACUUGGAUGGAGCUGGGAAAGACCUCCUGGGGUUGUCCAAGGCAAGAGCCAAGCUUUCAUAGAAUCACAGAAGCAUUAAGGUUGGAAAAGGUGAUGCAGUCCAACCACAGCCCCACUGUGCCCACUGACCACAUCGAGGAAACACAUCAGCCACCAUGAGUAGGGUCAGGGCAAUGCUGACACAAACACCACCUGCAGCAGCACGGGGAAAGCAGAGGACUGCAUUUAUUUUUAGAUGCAAAGCAUUUGUGUUUCCCUCUUUUAUGGAGAUGGGCUGAAAAGAGUGAGAACAGAUGAUGGCGUUGAAUUCCCGAUCCAACACUUCAGAUGUGUGCCAUCAAAAUAGCAUUGCAAACAGACCCUACCCACAGCUCUGGGUCCCUCUCAAGAAGCCCUGAACAGAAGCUGCUGUGCUGCGGGGCUGGGAGCAGCGCCCUGCCUGCACGGAAAGCAUGGAAAUGCAUUUUGAUGUUCCCUUUGAAUCACUCCCCUUUCCUCCUUCUCAUCCUUAAGGUGCUCUUAAUAAAGCCAGAGGGGGAAAAGCUCUUUGGAUUGUAGAUGAGCAGGAUGUUUUCAUCCUUCUUGAAUUUACUCUGUAAUCUUGUUUAGAAGUGGAAUACCGAGCGCUAGAAGUAUCAGUUUGUGACCCAUAGCUGAGAGGCCCCUUCUGCUCUGCCACCAUCCCUCAUCAGCCUGCUCAUGUGCUGAAGCCACCUGUUGGGUGGGAAGAUGCUGUGGUGGAAGCCCAGCCUGGUCCCCUCCACAUGUGUGGGCCAGGGAUGGGAUGCAGCUCCACGUGUACCCCCAUUGGGUCACCUCCUCCCCUCCUGCCCAGUGCAAACCCAGAGCAGCGCUCCCCAACCCCGUGUGCAGAAUGGGGAGUGAAUUCCCCUUCCAGCCAGGCAGUUGCCAGCCCCUACUGCUAAUUGGUGUGGCUGCUCUCUCCUGGGACUGCAAAUCUGAUGGUUUCUCACUGUCCUUUUGCAUUUUGCAUUGUCUUCUGUCUAGCUGAGGAUGCUGGCAGCCCCUGGGGCACUUUUAAUUUAAAAGAAGAAACAAACAUGCAGACCUCUUCCAAUUUCCAGCAUGGCACAAAGCUGCCUGCAGCCCGUAGGGUUCUGUGCUGCACUCUGUGCAUCCUUGAGUUCCCCAAGAACAGCUCCAGAGCCCAACGGCACAGCCGAGGGCAGCACAGCCCUCCCCUCUCCCUUCCUUUUACUCAGCAGCAUCCCCCCUUACCAGCAGUCAGGCAUCAGCCCAGACUGAAUGGUGACAUGACAGUAAAUGCUUCCAUUGUAUGGUAGCAUGAACCUCCAAACUGCUCACUGAAAGAGCACAGCUGGCCCCAGCAGAGCCUGUAAAUAAAGGUAACUGCAGCCCUGCAUGAUUACAGCGCUAAUAAAGUGAUGAAUGGAGAUGACGCUCCCCCCACUGCAGCUGGAGCACCUGUCUGGGCUGCAAUCACACUGUAAGCACUAAUUGGAGAGGUCAGCUUCUUCCCAUCAUUGCUGCGUGGGUGCUGAAGGCACAAAGGGAGAAGCAUGGGGGUGGGAGCAUGAGCCCUGCACUGAGAGCAGCCCUAAUGCCUCCCCAGGAGCUGGAGACCUCCUUGAGGACAUCUCCAUUCCAUUCAGCCUCACCAGGCCUGCAGCACUUCAAUGGAAAGUGGAAAGAUUUAAGAGGCAGCGGGAGGAUUCUCACUGAGAAUGAAAGGAAUCCCCUGCAGUGGCAAAGAAAAGAGCCAGUGCUAGGUGCACAGCAGGGAGGAGAGUGUGAGGAGGAGGAAAUCUGGGGAGGAAGAAGCACAGCAACACCUGAGCACACGCACACAGGGCACA
ensembl:lncRNA